UCUCCGUUGGUGAACCAGCGGAAGGAUCAUUACCGAGUUUACAACUCCCGAACCCAAUGUGAACCAUACCAAACUGUUGCCUCGGCGGGGUCACGCCCCGGGUGCGUCGCAGCCCCGGAACCAGGCGCCCGCCGGAGGAACCAACCAAACUCUUUCUGUAGUCCCCUCGCGGACGUUAUUUCUUACAGCUCUGAGCAAAAAUUCAAAAUGAAUCAAAACUUUCAACAACGGAUCUCUUGGUUCUG
rnacentral:misc_RNA from 1 species